rnacentral:sRNA from 1 species
UCCACAGAUUCUGCAGAACAGUGAAGCCAUAAUUACCGUAUAUACUUAUUCUACAGAUUCAACAGGUCGUAAAGGACCAUGUUGCCGAAUAUGUUCAACAGCCUUGCAUAGAAUAUUAGAUAGAAGCUUGUAAUGGUAGUAGCAUCAGCAUUGUCUGGAAGGAACUAUCAGUGAAGAUUCUAUUGAAGAACACAAGGAUUAUGUCGGAAGUGGUAUAGAAUCAGUGGAUAAACCAUCAUGCACAACAUUACCAUCAAAGAAAAAAAUGGACAAUGGAAUAGGACAUUUGAAUUUUAUAUGGACUUUAAAGAUUAAAGUGUACCAAGAGAGGCAGAAGCACUGAAAGUAAAAAACAAAUGCAAUUUUCUUGCUGAUAGAAGUAUUCAUCAGAAAAAGAGUAAAAUGCAACAUAUGCUGAGACUUAAUCAGCAGAUACGAACGCUGAUUCCAAUGAGCCCCCGUUAAACGUAAUGGCGGAAGAUGAGGAUGCAAAUUUAGGACGUUUGGUCUUGCAGUAACAAAUGAUUCUGUAAUAAACCCUUUAAAUUUAAACAGUAAUUGGAAGAUUAUCUCCUCAUGAAAUACCCUGGACUUAUUUAUAAACAAGAGUCGUCUGUAUGCUUCAUGUUUUAGAUUGAAGAUUGAAUGUGUAUGUGUUAUAUCUGUAUUACUCUCUCUGCUUCCCAUCUGCAACAUGUGUACCUGUGGUGUAACCUCAUGGUUUAGUUUUUAUUCGUUUUAAAAUCUUAAUAUCAGCAAUAAGAUGUUGUAAUUUCUUAUGUGUUACUUUUAUGUUUAAGGUCAAGUGAACAUGAUUGAAAUAUGUAUUGCAUAUAUUUUAAAAGUAUAUUACAAUGUAAUUUAGAAUACUUAUAGUUUUUAAAAAAGGACAAUCAUAUUAAUAUCUAAUAUUUACAUGUAGUGUAUAUUUCCCCUUAUGUUUGCAGAGGACAUCUGUGACGUUCAAUUUCUCAUGACACCUGUGGGUUUUAGCUCUGCUGGCCAUAGACCAGAAGAGUGUAUGCGAUGAUCUGUUUGUGUAGCUUUCUGUUUGUCUCUCUGUGAACAAUUUUCAAAUGCAGCUACUAUUACAGCUAUCAAGAAUGUUCACAUAUAUAUACAUGUCUUGUGUUUGUAAUCAUGCAUGACACAUUUUUCUAACUUUGAGAAAUAAAAUAUAUAAUCUUUAACUGAC